CAGUCUUCUGUUUGCCUUCAGAACAAGAUGUAGAACUCUCAGCUAUUUCUGUGCCACGCCUGCCUGCAUGCUGCCAUGCUUCCUGCUGUGAUGAUAAUGGACUGAACCUCAGAACCUGAGAGACCGGGGAAGGAGAAGUAUUACCAAGUAAACAGGAAGAGCAUAGCCAGCAGCUUCCACAUCUAUAGAAAUGACAGAGACCGCUGGCUGCCCUGACAGUCACCCAACGCUUCUCUGCAACACUGGCUCCAGCAGUUCACCGGCAGCCUACUGGCCCAGGAUAUCUGCAGACUUAUCUGUGAAGCUGGACUAUGGAGGACCAGGCUACUUUAUCUUUGCAAAGCUAGGCAGAUAACUUCCUCUGUGUCCUGCUUGUCCACAGUUUGGGCAGCAUUCUGUCAGCAGCUGAAGCAAGGGCAAGUUUUUUGUUUUUUGUUUUUUGUUUUUUGUUUUUUGUUUUUUGUUUGUUUGUUUGUUUUUGCUGAUGGCUAGCCGUGCCACAAUGGAAGGGAACUCCAUGUAGAGGUUCUUCAAUGCCCAUCUUCUUCUUUGAAGUAGUAUGGGAAUGUUGCCACGAGCAGACCCAUCUAGUGUCAUGAAAAGCCUUGUGUUAAUAAAGCAUCUUUAAAUGCCAUA
rnacentral:lncRNA from 1 species